GGGCCCAGGAAGGGCAGAAGUCCCUGGCUAAGCUCCUCUCUGGAAAGAACAGAAGAGUGACCAGUUCCUCUGUCAGUUUGGUCUCAAUGGCAGAGGCCGGUUCCUUUAAGCUGCAGUCCGUAAAGGGUCUUGGAACGACUGGGGGCCAGGAUUCUCUGAGGGCGGGAAUCCGGGCGGCCGUCAGCUCUCGGUGGUGAUCGAGGCCACGCUCCGCCUGUCUCUGGGCGUGCAUACCUCGGUUUCCCCGUUUGUGACGUGGGAAGGCAAUUAGUCUGGACAUUGUUGUGGGAGGACUUGCGGAGACUGGGCGCAGGGCGUGGGGGUCAGUGAGGGCGCGGUGGGUCAGCCCCAGCCCGGCUGGCAGUCGCGGGGCUGGGAAGGUAGGGAACCCUCCGCUCUCACCCCACUUCCUGUUUGGUCGGUGUGUUCUGUGACCAUAGAUGGUCAAGUCUGGGGCCGCGCGGAAGCCUCCGCCCUGUGGUUUUGGAGCCCUUCCUCCCGGCGCGCAGGGUGUGGUCCCCGAGAAUAAGAUGAGCAGAAUUAAAGCAGAUCCUGCACCCACUCUGCUGAAAUCCGGCUUCUGAGGCAGCCUCGCCCAGGGCUGGGUGGGCUCAGGCGGCUGCUACUCGGUUCAGGGGAGGUUACGCACGGUGGCUGCCGCGCGCAGGGGAGGCUUCGCUUCCGUACUCCUUGGGCCGGGAGAUCCGAUCUUUGUUCCCUCAAGACUCACACUCUCCAACCGGUCAUUAUCCUCCCACAAAGAUUUAUUUCUAGAAAAAAUUGGCAAGUGCCACAGUUCCCGCCCCUUCAGCUGAACGACUGUGACAGCUCCGUGUUUCAAGUUGAAUGCAGGCGUUAUGUGCCAGAGUCAAUCAUUCAACAAAUAAAGUUCUUAAAAUAACAGCUACCAUUUACUGCACGCUGACUACUUGCCAGGCCCAUGCUGAGUUCUUCAAGCGUAUUUUCAUUUACUCCUAAUAGCAACUCUCGGUGAGACAGAAGGAACAUAGACCAUACACGCAUUCUAGAGGAAGAGGAGAGAGAAGAGGAAGCAGGAAGGAGAAUGAAGAAAGUUUCCUCAUCAGCUUUUUCCUCCUCGCUGAUCUUGCCCCUUGUCCAGUACCCAGUGCUU
rnacentral:lncRNA from 10 species